rnacentral:tRNA from 1 species
GUGGGUGUAGCUCAAUUGGUAGAGUGCUUGCCUGGCUUGAACGAGGCCCUGAGUUUGAUCCUCAGCACCACCA